rnacentral:rRNA from 1 species
UACGAAGGGGGCUAGCGUUGCUCGGAAUCACUGGGCGUAAAGCGCACGUAGGCGGCUUCUUAAGUCAGGGGUGAAGUCCUGGAGCUCAACUCCAGAACUGCCUUUGAUACUGAGAAGCUUGAGUCCGGGAGAGGUGAGUGGAACUGCGAGUGUAGAGGUGAAAUUCGUAGAUAUUGGGAAGAACACCAGUGGCGAAGGCGGCUCACUGGCCCGUAACUGACGCUGAGGUGCGAAAGCGUGGGGAGCAAACAGG